UACGAAGGGGGCUAGCGUUGCUCGGAAUCACUGGGCGUAAAGGGUGCGUAGGCGGGUCUUUAAGUCAGGGGUGAAAUCCUGGAGCUCAACUCCAGAACUGCCUUUGAUACUGAGGAUCUUGAGUUCGGGAGAGGUGAGUGGAACUGCGAGUGUAGAGGUGAAAUUCGUAGAUAUCGGGAGGAACACCAGUGGCGAAGGCGGCGAUCUGGGUGGAUACUGACGCUGAGGUGCGAAAGCGUGGGGAGCAAACAGG
rnacentral:rRNA from 1 species